ensembl:miRNA
GGUUGCUUUAGCUGGAGGGAUUCCUGGCAGAGUGAUUUGGUUGUGAUGUAAUGAAAAUCACAUUGCCAGGGAUUUCCAACCAGCUAUAGCAGACAC